UACAGAGGUCCCAAGCGUUGUUCGGAUUCACUGGGCGUAAAGGGUGCGUAGGUGGUGGGGUAAGUCGGAUGUGAAAUCUCGGAGCUCAACUCCGAAAUGGCAUUGGAAACUACCCUGCUUGAGGGUCGGAGGGGGGACUGGAAUUCUCGGUGUAGCAGUGAAAUGCGUAGAUAUCGGGAGGAACACCAGUGGCGAAGGCGGCGAUCUGGGAAGAUACUGACGCUGAGGUGCGAAAGCGUGGGGAGCAAACAGG
rnacentral:rRNA from 1 species